rnacentral:rRNA from 1 species
CCGGCACGGGUGAGUAACACGUAUGCAAUCCACCUGUAACAGGGGGAGUAACCCGGAGAAAUCCGGACUAAUACCCCAUAAUAUGGGCGCUCCGCAUGGAGAGCCCAUUAAAGAGAGCAAUUUUGGUUACAGACGAGCAUGCGCUCCAUUAGCCAGUUGGCGGGGUAACGGCCCACCAAAGCGACGAUGGAUAGGGGUCCUGAGAGGAAGGUCCCCCACAUUGGAACUGAGACACGGUCCAA